GAUGAACGCUGGCGGCGUGCCUAAUACAUGCAAGUCGAGCGAACAGACGAGGAGCUUGCUCCUCUGACGUUAGCGGCGGACGGGUGAGUAACACGUGGAUAACCUACCUAUAAGACUGGGAUAACUUCGGGAAACCGGAGCUAAUACCGGAUAAUAUAUUGAACCGCAUGGUUCAAUAGUGAAAGACGGUUUUGCUGUCACUUAUAGAUGGAUCCGCGCCGCAUUAGCUAGUUGGUAAGGUAACGGCUUACCAAGGCAACGAUGCGUAGCCGACCUGAGAGGGUGAUCGGCAACACUGGAACUGAGACACGGUCCAGACUCCUACGGGAGGCAGAAGUAGGGAAUCUUCCGCAAUGGGCGAAAGCCUGACGGAGCAACGCCGCGUUAGUGAUGAAGGUCUUCGGAUCGUAAAACUCUGUUAUUAGGGAAGAACAAAUGUGUAAGUAACUAUGCACGUCUUGACGGUACCUAAUCAGAAAGCCACGGCUAACUACGUG
rnacentral:rRNA from 1 species